rnacentral:rRNA from 1 species
AAUACUAUAAUAAUUAACAAUAAUAUAAUUAAAAUUAAAUAAAUAUUAUAAAAUAUUAUUAUUUGUAUAAAAUACAUAUAAAGAUUCUAAAUCUAUCGCACUAAUCUGCCAAAAUAACAAUUUUAUUCAUUUAAAUUAAAUUUUAAAUUUUAAUUUUGGUCCUUUCGUACUAAAAACUAAAAAUUUUAUAAAGAUAGAAACCAACCUGGCUUACACCGGUUUAAACUCAGAUCAUGUAAAGUUUAAAUGGUCGAACAGACCAAAUACUUAAGCUUCUACACCUAAAUUUAACUUUAAUCCAACAUCGAGGUCGCAAUCUCUUUUUUCGAUUUGAACUCUAAAAAAAAAUAACGCUGUUAUCCCUAAGGUAAUUUAUUCUUAUAAUCAAUUAAUUGGAUCAAAUAUACAUAAAUAAAUGGUUUAAUAAAAAAAAAGUUAAAUUAAUUUUUCAAUCACCCCAAUCAAAUUAUUAUAAAAAUAAAAAUUAUAAAUUCUAAAAAUUUUUAAAAUAAUAAUAAUUAAACUCUAUAGGGUCUUCUCGUCUAUUAUAAACAUUUAAGCUUUUUAACUUAAAAAUAAAAUUUUUUUUAUUAAUUAAAGAAAGUCAUUUUUUCAUCAAACCAUUCAUACAAGCUUUCAAUUAAAAAACUAAUGAUUAUGCUACCUUUGCACAGUCAAAAUACUGCGGCCCUUUAAUAAAAUCA